rnacentral:rRNA from 1 species
AAUCUGCGAACGGCUCAUUAUGAACACCCUUAACCUACCCAGUUAUCGUAUCCCAAACGGAUAUCUGCGUUAAUUUCGGAGCUAAUACGUGCACCUGAGCACCGCCAGCAAUGGUAGUGCGCACUUAUUAGAUCAAGGCCGACUGGGGCAACCCUUUUGGUGACUCUGAAUAAUUUAGCGGAUCGUAUGGUCUUGUACCGACGACGUACUGGUCGGGAGGGUGCCCUAUCAACUAUUGAUGGAAGUCUAUGUGUCUUCCAUGGUUGUAACGGGUAACGGAGAAUCAGGGUUCGACUCCGGAGAGCUAGCCUUAGAAACGGCUAUCACAUCCAAGGAAGGCAGCAGGCGCGUAAAUUACCCACUCUCAAUUCGAGGAGGUAGUGACUAUCAAUAACGAGACAGAUCUCUUUGAGGUCUGUCAUUGAAAUGAGCACAACUUAAAGACUUUAACGAAGUCUAUGGGAGGGCAAGUCUGGUGCCAGCAGCCGCGGUAAUUCCAGCUCCCAACGUGUAUAUCGUCAUUGCUGCGGUUAAAAAGCUCGUAGUUGGAUCUAAGUUUAUGACAGUAGUUCUCCAUGUGAGAUACUGCGUGUCUGAACUGAUUCGCCGGUUUUCCUUGGUUUCGGCCUUGGUGACUGGUGUUGUAACUUUGAUUAAAUCAAUGUGAUUAAAACAGGCGUUUGCUUGAAUGCUUUAUCAUGGAAUAAUAGAAUAUGACUUCGGUCCAUUCUGUUGGUCUUGGGAUUGAAGUAAUGAUUAAGAGGAAUGACUCGGGGGCAUCCGUAUCGCUGCGUGAGAGGUGAAAUUCUUGGACCGCAGCGAGACGACCGAUUGCGAAAGCAUUUGCCAAGAAUGUUUUCAU